AAAUAAAAUCUUCUGGUUUUUAAAUGAGCCUUACUUAACCCGUGAUGCCCAGUAGCCGGCUGACCGAUCAGUCGUGGCACUUUUCCGAGCCGUGAGAGAAGCCGGCCGGUCUCUGUAGUCUGGGUCUGUGGGAGCUGGAAGUUCUCUUCAGAAGCCAGUCAUGAGCGGAUUGCUGCAGACGGCGGCCCUGUGCCUGGUAGUUUUCUGGCUGGGUUCACUGACCUGUGCGCAGGAGAUGUGCGGCCCGCCUGCCUACUGGGAGGCGGAGGGGAGGAGCCCCAUGGCGGACAACAAGGGGAAGGUCAUUGUCAUGAAGUUCCCCAUCGGCUCCUGACCCUUCUGCCAGGGGGAGGUCUCCAGUCUGGAGGCUCUCCGACAGAAGCUGUACAGCGAGGGGAAGUCGGACAUCUUCUUCGGCGCCGUGAACCACUGGGGCUGGGCGAGCUGGUGGUACCGCGGCGAGCUGGAGAGGAGGGCCAACUUCCCGGUCUACCAGGACUCCUGGUCUCAGGACAUCUGGGGGAAGCUGCACGCUGCCAAGGACGACAUCCUGGUGUAUGACA